rnacentral:rRNA from 1 species
AAUCAACGCUGGCGGCGUGCCUCAGACAUGCAAGUCGAACGAUUAAGACUUCCUUCGGGAAGUGCAUAAAGUGGCGCACGGGUGAGUAACACGCAAGUAAUCUACCCUCGAGUGGGGAAUAACGUUCGGAAACGGACGCUAAUACCGCAUAACGCAGCGGCACCGCAAGGUGACAGUUGUUAAAGGAGCAAUCCGCUUGAGGAGGAGCUUGCGGCAGAUUAGCUAGUUGGUAGGGUAAUGGCUUACCAAGGCUACGAUCUGUAUCCGGUCUAAGAGGACGGUCGGACACACUGACACUGAAUAACGGGUCAGACUCCUACGGGAGGCAGCAGUCGGGAAUUUUGGGCAAUGGGCGAAAGCCUGACCCAGCAACGCCGCGUGAAGGAUGAAGUAUUUCGGUAUGUAAACUUCGAAAGAAUAGGAAGAAUAAAUGACGGUACUAUUUAUAAGCUCCGGCUAACUACGUGCCAGCAGCCGCGGUAAUACACAGGGAGCAAGCGUUGUUCGGAUUUACUGGGCGUAAAGGGCGCGUAGGCGGCGCGGUAAGUCACUUGUGAAAUCUCUGAGCUUAACUCAGAACGGCCAAGUGAUACUGCAGUGCUAGAGUGCAGAAAGGGCAAUCGGAAUUCUUGGUGUAGCGGUGAAAUGCGUAGAUAUCAAGAGGAACACCUGAGGCGAAGGCGGGUUGCUAGGCUGACACUGACGCUGAGGCGCGAAAGCCAGGGGAGCAAACGGGAUUAGAUACCCCGG